GGCGCCCCCUGGAACACAGUCAUAAAUGUUGAUGUAUAGCUCACACAUACUUGCACAUAUUCAUAUGAAACUCAGUACACAUAUAGAUCUCAUUGUGCCGAACAAUUUUCGUAUUGCAUGUCAUUGGGCUCCGCCCAACAGGAAGUCAGCUAUUUAGAGUUAUGUAAAAAGCGCAUGCUCUGGAAUUUGAUAUACUUGUCAUAGGUUUUUUACUCGUUUACCACCAAACUCGGUCAACAUGAUCUCAAGACAUUGGGGAUGAAAAAUUGCCAGGGGAUUUUUGAUAUCUCGAACGGUUUGCUCGUGGCGAGGCGUUGAAAUUAUGGCGAGAAUUGAGAAACAGGAAGUGUCUAAUACCAUCCACAUACAUUUCCUGAUUUCAAUCAAACUUCAUCAGAUUAUUCAUUGUAUGAUGUCGAUCACAUAUAUGUGACUAUUAGGAGUCAAAGUUAUAGCGCCACCAACUGGCAGCAGGAAGUGUGUCAUUUUCAAAAUGCUUUGAAUUCAGCAUCUUAUUUUUACUCGAUUUGCUUCAAACUUCAUCAGAAUAAUGUUAAAACACAGCCGAUAUGAAUCUGCUGGGGGAAAUUGGAUAUCUAAAAAUAUUGUUGCCGUGGCAACAUGUCAAACUGGAAUACUUCUCAGGUGAUUUUGAGGCAUAUAACAUGCUUAGAAUUUCAUCAAACUCAGAACACAUAUCAGUAUUAGUGACAGCUAGACACUGGCAAAAGUUCAUAAGAGGGCGUGGAAGAGGCACUCUAUAGCGCCACCUUUUGUCAAAAGUGAGGGGGUUAGUUUUAGCUACAGACACCAAACUCAGUACAAAAAUUGUUCUUAUCAAGACGGACAACUUUCUAAUUCACAGUCAUCAGCUACGACCAACAGGAAGUCGGCUAUUUUGAUUUGAAUGUGGAUUGUUUUUUACAUUUAGCUGUGAAUUAAUGCAUACUGCUCAGAGGAGAGUAACACUAUACACACCAAACUUGGUGUACAUGUUGAAAAAACAUUGAGGAACUUAAAUUGUGAAUGGGUUUUGGAUAGCUUGGAUGGUUUUGUCGUGGUGAUUUUUUUAAAUGACAAUAAAGAUGGAACUAUUAA